GACGAACGCUGGCGGCGUGCCUAAUACAUGCAAGUAGAACGCUGAAGGAGGAGCUUGCUUCUCCGGAUGAGUUGCGAACGGGUGAGUAACGCGUAGGUAACCUGCCUGGUAGCGGGGGAUAACUAUUGGAAACGAUAGCUAAUACCGCAUAAGAGUAGAUGUUGCAUGACAUUUGCUUAAAAGGUGCAAUUGCAUCACUACCAGAUGGACCUGCGUUGUAUUAGCUAGUUGGUGGGGUAACGGCUCACCAAGGCGACGAUACAUAGCCGACCUGAGAGGGUGAUCGGCCACACUGGGACUGAGACACGGCCCAGACUCCUACGGGAGGCAGCAGUAGGGAAUCUUCGGCAAUGGACGGAAGUCUGACCGAGCAACGCCGCGUGAGUGAAGAAGGUUUUCGGAUCGUAAAGCUCUGUUGUAAGAGAAGAACGAGUGUGAGAGUGGAAAGUUCACACUGUGACGGUAUCUUACCAGAAAGGGACGGCUAACUACGUGCCAGCAGCCGCGGUAAUACGUAGGUUCCGAGCGUUAUCCGGAUUUAUUGGGCGUAAAGCGAGCGCAGGCGGUUAGAUAAGUCUGAAGUUAAAGGCUGUGGCUUAACCAUAGUACGCUUUGGAAACUGUUUAACUUGAGUGCAGAAGGGGAGAGUGGAAUUCCAUGUGUAGCGGUGAAAUGCGUAGAUAUAUGGAGGAACACCGGUGGCGAAAGCGGCUCUCUGGUCUGUAACUGACGCUGAGGCUCGAAAGCGUGGGGGAGCAAACAGG
rnacentral:rRNA from 1 species